rnacentral:lncRNA from 13 species
GGGAGGAGGCAAGGGAGAGGGUGAUUUACAGCCGCUGGGGAACGUCUCUCCUGUGAACUUCUCUGGGUUAAACCUGCAUCUGGUGGUCUUCAGGACCCUGCAGGCCGGGCUACAAUGAGCAGCUGGGGGUGACAGCUUACAGCCGCAAAGCUGAUUGAAAGCCUGGAAAACAGGACUGAUGGGCAAUCUUAAAAAGAACGUGGAUUAUUCAGCCUGGAGACGUAAACAUGAAUACCUACACUCAAAUAUAUAAGGGGGUCUUUCUCUGAAGUUGGUGGCCAGCUAUUCUCCAGAUCUAGGAGAAAGAGGAAAAAAAAUCAUCAAAUGAGGAAGUGGUUUUAAAUUCCAGCAGGAGAGACUGAGGAUGGAAAAAAAAAAAAAACAAAAAACCAAAAACCAAAGGUCUGAAAUGAGAAUUGGACGUUAGACUGGGUUCCCACAGAGGCUGCUGGAAUCUUCUCUGCAGAGCUGUGCAAACAGACUAGACUCUCCACUGCCUGGCUGUCUGGAGGCUGGAAGUGCCCAAAGGUCAAGAAAACACAGGAUGGCUUCUCAGGAAUACAGUGCCAGUGGAUCUUCCUCCUAGGCUGAGUGACACCUGCCCACACUGCCUGUGAAGGUUGCACAGUUGGCUCCAAUUCUUCUCCAGUCUCUGGUCGUGCCCUCCCCUGCUGACUUUGGACUUGUCCAUUGACUUGCUUUGGCCAGCUGCAAAUGUGAGAUCUCUCUCCUUCUGGAAGGUCUUCACUGAGGACAAAUGUGGUGUUUCUGCCUCUGACCCCACCUUCCAUGACAAGGGAAAACAAAGAAGAGGAAAAGGGAAAGCCAGAGAAGAGGAAAAGGGAAAGACAUGGAAAGAAGAAUCCCUUCCCUGCUCUCCACCAAUAACCUUGACUUUCUGGGCAGUUGCUGCCAUUGCUGCUUCAAGACCUUGUCCUCUCAUCUCUCUGAUAUUUCAAGUCCCUAGAGCAAGGUCUGGGGCAUCUUUCUCUGCAUCUUAAGGCAAGAUCCAGUAGACAGCCAGUGAGCAGAAAAUAACUUGACAGGAGAACAAAAAAGUAUGCUUUUAAAAUUUGUUUUCUGAACAGCCUGAUGAUCAGGUAAACACUGUAAGCAUUCACGAGUGGGCAGAGAGACAAAAUUAGAGAAAACAUUCCCAGCGCUCACCAUGGAUCUGUUCCCAACCUCGUCACCGAUUCCUCCCACCUUCAAAAUUAAUUUUUCUCAACAGUCAGCCCAAAGGAAGAGCCUGAAGAUCUCGGGAAUGCGUGCUCUCAAAACAAAUUGUUUUUCAUCUGAGAAUUGGGGACUUCUGCUUGAAAAAUAACCAUCUAUGGCAUAAACAUGGCAAUAGGACAUGAGCAUGUGGGAUGGGCCCAUGAGUAGCCCUUCUUGAAGACAGCUACCUGGGGGGAAGGCCCCUCUGCUAUAGUCAGUCUGAGCACACAGAGAUCUCCCCACACUUCCCAAAAUGUCCAGGGACCUCUGGAGAGAAUCUCUGAGGAUUUUUCAGGUAUGCCAGCUCCUGACUGCAAAAAGGGUCUCCUGGCUUGAGCCACUCACCCAGGCUUGUUCUCUGUUCUACUCUGGUCACCUCCACACUGAGCUCCAGAGCCCUUCACCUUGGUUCUGGUCAAAACUGUUCUCUUA